rnacentral:rRNA from 1 species
UACGGGGGGGAGCAAGCGUUGUUCGGAUUUACUGGGCGUAAAGGGCGCGUAGGCGGUCGUGACAAGUCACUUGUGAAAUCUCCGGGCUUAACCCGGAGCGGUCAAGUGAUACUGUCGGACUAGAGUACAGAAGGGGCAACUGGAAUUCUCGGUGUAGCGGUGAAAUGCGUAGAUAUCAGGAGGAACACCGGUGGCGAAGGCGGCUAUCUGGACAGAGUCUGACGCUGAGGCGCGAAAGCUAGGGGAGCAAACAGG